UGGCUGAGCGGUAAAGCGCUUGGCUUUCAAACAAGGAUCACAGGUUUGAAACCUGG
rnacentral:tRNA from 1 species